UACGGGGGGGGCAAGCGUUGUUCGGAAUUACUGGGCGUAAAGGGCUCGUAGGCGGCCAACUAAGUCAGACGUGAAAUCCCUCGGCUUAACCGGGGAACUGCGUCUGAUACUGGAUGGCUUGAAUCCGGGGAGAGGGAUGCGGAAUUCCAGGUGUAGCGGUGAAAUGCGUAGAUAUCUGGAGGAACACCGGUGGCGAAGGCGACAUCCUGGACCGGUAUUGACGCUGAGUGAGCGAAAGCCAGGGGAGCAAACGGG
rnacentral:rRNA from 1 species